GACGAACGCUGGCGGCGUGCCUAAUACAUGCAAGUCGAGCGGACCAAAGGGAGCUUGCUCCUGGAGGUUAGCGGCGAACGGGUGAGUAACACGUGGGCAACCUGCCUGUAAGACUGGGAUAACAUCGAGAAAUCGGUGCUAAUACCGGAUAAUAAAAAGAACUGCAUGGUUCUUUUUGAAAGAUGGUUUCGGCUAUCACUUACAGAUGGGCCCGCGGCGCAUUAGCUAGUUGGUGAGGUAACGGCUCACCAAGGCGACGAUGCGUAGCCGACCUGAGAGGGUGAUCGGCCACACUGGGACUGAGACACGGCCCAGACUCCUACGGGAGGCAGCAGUAGGGAAUCUUCCGCAAUGGACGAAAGUCUGACGGAGCAACGCCGCGUGAGUGAUGAAGGUUUUCGGAUCGUAAAACUCUGUUGUUAGGGAAGAACAAGUGCCGUUCGAAAGGGCGGCACCUUGACGGUACCUAACGAGAAAGCCACGGCUAACUACGUAGCCAGCAGCCGCGGUAAA
rnacentral:rRNA from 1 species